rnacentral:rRNA from 1 species
GAUGAACGCUGACAGAAUGCUUAACACAUGCAAGUCUUUGGCGAAGCUGUGCUUGCACAGCCUAGCCAAGGCGGACGGGUGAGUAACGCGUAAGGAACUUGCCCUGCAGUCAGGGAUAACAGACGGAAACGACUGAUAAGACCUGGUAAAGUCAGGCGGACUCAUGUCCAGCCUGAUGAAAAGAGAUGCUGCAGGAGAGCCUUGCGUCCUAUUAGCUUGUUGGUGGGGUAACGGCCCACCAAGGCGAUGAUAGGUAGCCGGCCUGAGAGGGUGGACGGCCACAAGGGGACUGAGAUACGGCACAUACUCCUACGGGAGGCAGCAGGGGGGAAUAUUGGACAAUGGGGGCAACUCUGAUCGAGCAGUUCUGUGUGCACGAUGAAGGUUUUCGGAGUGUAAAGUGCUUUCAGCAGGGAAGAAAAAAAUGACGGUACCUGCAGAAGAAGCGACGGCUAAAUACGUG